UGCUUUCAUUUUUUUUUAUCUUGAGUUUUUUCCGUUUACGUUUUUAUUUUUGAGUUGCAACGUGUAAUGGGUCUAGCAGACCCAAUUAGCCUAGAUAUACUUCUUUGGAUUUACAGUUUUACACUAAGCGUGUCAAUAAGGAAUAGUAAAAGCCAAUGAGCCUGGCUCUAAUGGCAUUUCUCUCCCCUCCCACCUCAAGGUCUAGGGUUCAAACCCUAAAGAAUGCAAUUGAGAAAAAAUGUGAUAAAAUAUGUGAAGAGUGUGUGGGUGUGUUGUGUACCUAGGAUUGGGGGUUGUCCAAUCCAUUGGAGUACCUAGGAUUGGAGGUUGUCCAAUCCACCGACCAAAAAAAAAAAUAGUAAAAAAUUUAAAAGAGUUUAUUA